AACCUCUACAAUGCACGAAAGUGUGAUAGGGGGAAUCCUAGUGGUAUAGGUUUUUGCCUAUACCUUUUGCAGAGUGUAAAAAGCUCUGCGAAUAAGGGUGUGGGCAAGACCGGUGGCAGCCGCCGCGGUAACACCGGCGCCUCAAGUGGUGCCCACGAAUAUUGGGCCUAAAGAGCCCGUAGCCGGUUUUGCAAGUCUCCUGUGAAAUGUUGCUGCCUAACAGCAACGCGUGCAGGAGAUACUGCAAAACUUGGGAGCGGAGGAGGGGUAGGGGUACACCAGGGCUAGUAGGUAAAAUACGUUGAACCUUGGUGGACCACCAGCGGCGAAGGCGCCUACCUAAGACGCGUCCGACGGUGAGGGG
rnacentral:rRNA from 1 species